AACGCACCUUGCGCUCCCCGGUAUUCCGAGGAGCAUGCCUGUUUGAGUGUCAUUAAAUUCUCAACCCAAACGAUUUGUUUCGUUUCGGGCUUGGACUUGAGGUGUGCCGGCCUUUGAGGUUCGGCUCCCUUUCAAAUAUAUUAGUGGAACACUUCUUGUGAAACUCGGCGUGAUAAGUUGUUGUGCCGUGGAUACCUUGAAGGACCUGCUUCUAACAGUCCCUUGUUGGACAACCAUUUGUGCGCUUGCAUGAUGACCAAUUUUGACCUCAAAUCAGGUAGGACUACCCGCUGAACUUAA
rnacentral:rRNA from 1 species